rnacentral:rRNA from 1 species
AAAGCCUGACGGAGCAACGCCGCGUGAGUGAAGACGGCCUUCGGGUUGUAAAGCUCUGUUAUAGGGGACGAACGGCCGGGUAGCGAAGAGGUAGCCGGCAUGACGGUACCGUAUGAGAAAGCCACGGCUAACUACGUGCCAGCAGCCGCGGUAAUACGUAGGUGGCAAGCGUUGUCCGGAAUGAUUGGGCGUAAAGGGCGCGCAGGCGGCUGUGUAAGUCUGUCCAGAAAGUGCGGGGCUAAACCCCGUGAGAGGAUGGAAACUGGACAGCUGAGAGUGUCGGAGAGGAAAGCGGAAUUCCUAGUGUAGCGGUGAAAUGCGUAGAUAUUAGGAGGAACACCGGUGGCGAAAGCGGCUUUCUGGACGACAACUGACGCUGAGGCGCGAAAGCCAGGGGAGCAAACGGGAUUAGAUACCCCGGUAGUCCUGGCCGUAAACGAUGGGUACUAGGUGUAGGAGGUAUCGACCCCUCCUGUGCCGGAGUUAACGCCAUAAGUACCCCGCCUGGGGAGUACGGGCGCAGGCUGAAACUCAAGGAAUGACGGGGGCCGCACAGCGUGAGUUGUGUUAAUC